UCUUUAAGGAGGGACUCAGUGGUGCAGGGCAGCGAGCCUUGACUUCAUUCCAAAGGCAGGUAACAGCCUUGUCCUGCUCACAAAAGAGAAGAGAACUGUUUUUGGAGACAUUUGGAAGGAGGAUACCCAAGAAGAUGGAGCAGUCCUUGUGCAAGCAGUGGACCAGGCAGCUGAAGAGUUGCCGUAGGCUUUCAGGGAAUCACCAAAUCUGUGCAAGUCCUUCAGAUGAGCAAACCCACCCUCUGAACUGUUUAAUCCAAGUAGGAUUGCUGAAAGUGUAAUUCAAGGCCUUCCUCCAGGAAUUAAAUAUCAUAACUUCCAUAAAUCUGAGUGGGAAUUAUGAACCAGCUCCAACAUUAUUUGGGGCCAAUUCAUAGAAACAAAC